AUAUGGCUCAAAGUUAACCGUCAGUCGUUUGUCAGUUGCAGCUCAGACUGUACUCUACCGGAGCUUUACGGUAAAGCAACAAAACAAGGAGACGCCCACGCGGUGAAACUUCUUCCGUAGUGAGACUCAGCUGCUGUGUGAGAGGGAGAGGACAGAGCCCCACCAACAGGAAGAGAGGCAGUUCUCGGCCCUCCUCCUCCUCCUCCUCCUCCUCCUCCACUUCCACCUCCUCCUCCUCCGCCACCACCUCCUCCUCCUCCUCCUCCGCUGGCUCCUGGACUCGUGCUGUCGCUCUCGGAGCUCCGGAAAGCUCUUCGGAUGCUCCCGGACUCCGGACGUUUCCUCAACCUGAAUGAGACAAAUAUUCAAUAUCAAGACUAGCGACUGGAACACAUCUUACAUGUCUUGGAUCACAAUGUACUGGUGCGGAAUCAGUCCAUCCACUCCGUUAUGCCGUCCCUCCCACCAGUCUUCAGAGGCUCGCUGGUAGAGAAGCAGAGAUGCGCCCUUCUUGAACGU